rnacentral:rRNA from 1 species
GACGAACGCUGGCGGCGUGCUUAACACAUGCAAGUCGAACGGAAAGGCCCUGCUUUUGUGGGGUGCUCGAGUGGCGAACGGGUGAGUAACACGUGAGUAACCUGCCCUUUACUUUGGGAUAACUUCAGGAAACUGGGGCUAAUACCGGAUAGGAGCUCCUGCUGCAUGGUGGGGGUUGGAAAGUUUCGGCGGUUGGGGAUGGACUCGCGGCUUAUCAGCUUGUUGGUGGGGUAGUGGCUUACCAAGGCUUUGACGGGUAGCCGGCCUGAGAGGGUGACCGGCCACAUUGGGACUGAGAUACGGCCCAGACUCCUACGGGAGGCAGCAGUGGGGAAUAUUGCACAAUGGGCGGAAGCCUGAUGCAGCAACGCCGCGUGCGGGAUGACGGCCUUCGGGUUGUAAACCGCUUUCGCCUGUGACGAAGCGUGAGUGACGGUAAUGGGUAAAGAGGCACCGGCUAACUACGUG